GAGGGUGUAGCUCAAGUGGUAGAGCGCAUGCUUAGCAUGCACGAAGUCCUGGGUUCAGUCCCCAGUACCUCCA
rnacentral:tRNA from 1 species